AGGGUUUGAUUAUGGCUCAGGAUGAACGCUAGCUACAGGCUUAACACAUGCAAGUCGAGGGGCAGCAUGGUCUUAGCUUGCUAAGGCUGAUGGCGACCGGCGCACGGGUGAGUAACACGUAUCCAACCUGCCGUCUACUCUUGGCCAGCCUUCUGAAAGGAAGAUUAAUCCAGGAUGGGAUCAUGAGUUCACAUGUCCGCAUGAUUAAAGGUAUUUUCCGGUAGACGAUGGGGAUGCGUUCCAUUAGAUAGUAGGCGGGGUAACGGCCCACCUAGUCAACGAUGGAUAGGGGUUCUGAGAGGAAGGUCCCCCACAUUGGAACUGAGACACGGUCCAA
rnacentral:rRNA from 1 species